rnacentral:misc_RNA from 1 species
GAUGAAGAACGUAGCGAAAUGCGAUAAGUAAUGUGAAUUGCAGAAUUCAGUGAAUCAUCGAAUCUUGAACGCACAUUGCGCCCUCUGGUAUUCCGGGGGGCAUGCCUGUUCGAGCGUCAUUACAACCCUCAAGCUUUGCUUGGUAUUGGACAUUGCCAGUUUCUGGCAGGUCUUAAAAUCAGUGGCGGUGCCAUUUGGCUUCAAGCGUAGUAAUUCUUCUCGCUUUGGAGAUCCAGGUGGUUACUUGCCAAUAACCCCCAAUUUUUUCAGGUUGACCUCGGAUCAGGUAAGGAUACCCGCUGAACUUAAGCAUAUCAAUAAGCGGAGGA